rnacentral:rRNA from 1 species
CCUACGGGAGGCAGCAGUGAGGAAUAUUGGUCAAUGGACGAGAGUCUGAACCAGCCAAGUAGCGUGAAGGAUGACUGCCCUAUGUGUUGUAAACUUCUUUUAUAUGGGAAUAAAAUGUUCCACGUGUGGGAUUUUGUCUGUACCAUAUGAAUAAGGAUCGGCUAACUCCGUGCCAGCAGCCGCGGUAAUACGGAGGGUCCGAGCGUUAUCCGGAUUUAUUGGGUUUAAAGGGAGCGUAGGUGGAUUGUUAAGUCAGUUGUGAAAGUUUGCGGCUCAACCGUAAAAUUGCAGUUGAAACUGGCAGUCUUGAGUACAGUAGAGGUGGGCGGAAUUCGUGGUGUAGCGGUGAAAUGCUUAGAUAUCACGAAGAACUCCGAUUGCGAAGGCAGUUCACUGGACUGCAACUGACACUGAGGCUCGAAAGUGUGGGUAUCAAACAGGAUUAGAUACCCGGGUAGUC